UUCCAGACUCCUACGGGAGGCAGCAGUGAGGAAUAUUGGUCAAUGGGCGCAAGCCUGAACCAGCCAAGUCGCGUGAGGGAAGACGGUCCUAUGGAUUGUAAACCUCUUUUGCCGGGGAGCAAUGCAGGCCUUGCGAGGCCUGAGGGAGAGUACCCGGAGAAAAAGCAUCGGCUAACUCCGUGCCAGCAGCCGCGGUAAUACGGAGGAUGCGAGCGUUAUCCGGAUUUAUUGGGUUUAAAGGGUGCGUAGGCGGGCUGUUAAGUCAGCGGUCAAAUGUCGGGGCUCAACCCCGGCCUACCGUUGAAACUGGCGGUCUUGAGUGAGCGAGAAGUAUGCGGAAUGCGUGGUGUAGCGGUGAAAUGCAUAGAUAUCACGCAGAACUCCGAUUGCGAAGGCAGCAUACCGGCGCUCAACUGACGCUGAGGCACGAAAGCGUGGGGAUCGAACAGGAUUAGAUACCCGCGUAAA
rnacentral:rRNA from 1 species